rnacentral:rRNA from 1 species
GAUGAACGCUGGCGGUAUGCUUAACACAUGCAAGUCGAACGGACUCUUCGGAGUUAGUGGCGGACGGGUGAGUAACGCGUGAGAAUCUGGCUUUGGGUUCGGGACAACCACUGGAAACGGUGGCUAAUACCGGAUGUGCCGAGAGGUAAAAGAGAAAUUGCCUGAAGAUGAGCUCGCGUCUGAUUAGCUAGUUGGUGAGGUAAAGGCUCACCAAGGCAGCGAUCAGUAGCUGGUCUGAGAGGAUGACCAGCCACACUGGGACUGAGACACGGCCCAGACGCCGACGGGAGGCAGCAGUGGGGAAUUUUCCGCAAUGGGCGAAAGGCUGACGGAGCAAUACCGCGUGAGGGAAGAAGGCUCUGGGGGUGUAAAACUCUUGUCUUAGGGAAGAACAAAAUGACGGUACCUAAGGAAUCAGCAUCGGCUAACUCCGUG